GACGAACGCUGGCGGCGUGCCUAAUACAUGCAAGUCGAACGCUUCUUUCCUCCCGAGUGCUUGCACUCAAUUGGAAAGAGGAGUGGCGGACGGGUGAGUAACACGUGGGUAACCUACCCAUCAGAGGGGGAUAACACUUGGAAACAGGUGCUAAUACCGCAUAACAGUUUAUGCCGCAUGGCAUAAGAGUGAAAGGCGCUUUCGGGUGUCGCUGAUGGAUGGACCCGCGGUGCAUUAGCUAGUUGGUGAGGUAACGGCUCACCAAGGCCGCGAUGCAUAGCCGGUCUGAGAGGAUGGACGGCCACACUGGGGCUGAGACACGACCCAG
rnacentral:rRNA from 1 species